CUCUCACUGUCGCAUCCCUGUCUGGUACUAUAGGUAUAGGAUCCGGAAUCUCCUUGUCAGUCGUCUGCCGCAGUAGUAAAUCCUCUAACCUCUUCAUCCUGUCCUCCUGCCGACGCGCGGCAUCCAUCUGCUGUCGCGCGGCCGCAGCCUGCUGAGCAACCAAAUCUGUCAGCUUCGCGAGCUGAUCCUGCAACUCAUGGAUCCCACUAGAUCCCGAAGUAACAGAAGUCCCCACUUCCUCUGCAUCCGCCGCCUCAGCUGCCCCGGCGGCUCUCGAACGAGUCGUAGGCAUCUUAAGCUGCAACAUAAAACAAACAUAGGUCAAUAAAACCUAUACUACUGAACCCUCAUUGAGGAUAUAAACCAGCUAAUUAAGCGAAAGUAAUGAAAUGUAACGCGUACUAACUUCUGAUGUCACGUUGUCGGCCGCCAACGUGACCCUCUGCAAAGUUAGUAAUUGCACAUUCCGAUCAAACCCCUACUAUUCGGAGUUUAUAUAUACCCAAUCCAAGUACUUUCGCUAACAACAACCUCGACUAGACCUCGUUUCUCACGAGCCUAUUCUUAUAGUCCAACCAGCCUAAGGUUUGCUAGGUCUACUAAGACUCAACCCUAGACUCUGAUACCACUAUAAUCUGUCACACCCGGGUAUCAGCGGAAGCAUAUCCGGUACGUGCACAGACCCGCCAUACACCUGCAGUAUAUAAGGCGUCUACAAGAAGCAAGUCGAUAGGAAGAAGCAUAGUAAAAUCCUAUCCUGAUAUCAGAGCAAAGUACAAGUCAAUAUACUAUCGGCAAAAGAACAAAGAGUGUACAAUCCAAAAUCUCGACUAAAAGAGAAAGUAUCAAAACCAUAGUGACUGUCCACAAAGUACAUAUACAUCACGGGGUAUACAAAAGAAUAGGUACAAUGGUGGUCUCUCUAUACAUAGGGACAUCACCCUCGGUCGAAGUCUGAGUAGCAAGGUGAUCGACUAGCAUGCUCCUAGCAAUGUCUAGCUAGACGCGACUCCCUUGCCACGAUCCCUAGCCUCUCCUGUAGCUGGCUCUGUAAAAAACAACCACCAAAAGGGCGUGAGAACUAUAAACAAUAGUUCCCAGUGGGUAAGCCGCCAGCCUCAGCGAAUUACACCACUAGGCUUAUGAUGUACUAAAUGAAAGCGAAAGCAGUAAUUGCAUGAUAUAUAAUUAUGCAAUGCUAACAGGUAAUGAGCAUGUAAGCAACAUGUAAUCAUAGUCUCGACAGUAAUGAAUCAACUGAAUAAUAGAAGCAUAGCAACUAUGAUAAGCAUGAACAUAAGCAUAAAUGUGUAAGUAACUACUAUACACUGUAACUGGUAAUCAUUCAUUACUGUCCAAUUUCUUUUAGCACUUUCCUUUCAUUCACAGGGAUCUACUCAAGGUAGUCCAGCUUGCCCCGCGCCUAAUGGUCCCGUGGUAGUGUACACUCCCCACGGCAAUCCACUUCGGCACCCAAUCUCGCACGGGCGAGCAACUGUCGCGUAGGCCAACUCCGGAGUGCCGGCUUGUAGGGAGCGACCCUCACAAGCGUGUGCGAAUGAGCACAAUGGCAAGAAAGCAAAUUCCAUUGUCCACAUGUCUUAAUUACCAUAUUUUCAUUUCAAUCUACUUUGGAUCCACAGCUAUCCCAGUUUCUGAAAUGACAUGACCCAGAAAUGCUACUUUCGAAGCCAAAAUUCGCAUUUCUUUAAUUUUGCAAACAAUUUCUUUUCUCGAAGUACUUGUAACACCACUCUUAGAUGGCUUUCAUGCUCCUCAUCGCUUCGAGAAUAGAUCAAGAUAUCGUCGAUGAACACCACCACAAAUCUGUCCAGAUAGGGCUUAAAGACACGGUUCAUUAAAUCCAUAAAGGCUGCUGGGGCAUUUGUUAAUCCAAAUGGCAUAACUGUAAAUUCAUAAUGCCCAUACCGUGUCCUAAAAGCAAUCUUAGAGACAUCUUCAGGUUUGAUUUUAAGCUGAUGAUAACCUGAUUGCAAAUCAAUCUUGGAAUAUACCUUCGAUCCUUGCAACUGAUCGAAUAAAUCAUCGAUUCUGGGUAAAGGAUAUUUAUUCUUGAUUGUGACUUUGUUGAUUUCUCGAUAAUCCACGCACAAUCGAAGAGAUCCGUCCUUCUUCUUGACAAAUAAUACCGGUGCUCCCCAAGGUGACACACUCGGUCGAAUGAAUCCUUUAUCUAAAAGAUCUUGUAACUGUGCCUUCAGCUCUUUCAAUUCAGCGGAUGCCAUCCUAUAGGGUGCUUUCGAGAUAGGAGUUGUCCCAGGGGCAAGAUCAAUCACAAACUCAACUUCCCUAUCAGGUAGCAUACCCGGCAACUCAGCUGGAAACACAUCCCCGAACUCCCGCACAACUGGGAUAUCAUCAAUCUUGAUGGCUUCACCACCACUCACAGAAAUACUAGCCAAAUAGGCUACACAACCUCUCCGAAUUAACUGUCGAGCUCAUGAAGAGCUAAUAGUCAUUGCGAACAAUGAACUCUGACACCCUUUAUAAACAAACUCCUGCUGACCCGGUUCCCUAAAGGUCACCGUCCUGUUCGUGCAAUCUAUAGUGGAAUAGUAUUGUGUCAACCAAUCCAUACCCAAAACUACAUCAAACUCACCUAGUUUGUGUAGUGCCAAUAAAUCCACCGGCAUAAUCGAGUCGCCUACCAUAACUGGGCAGCGAGGGCAAAACUCACGAACAUCUAGGGUAUAGUCAGGUACAAUCACUCGUCCUGGAUACAAGGUAGGUGCUAAAGGAAUGCUAUGCAACUCGGCGAACUGCUGAUCAAUAAAAGAAUGCGAAGCACCAGUAUCAAAUAAUGCACGAACACGAAUAUCAUAAAGCAUAAUGAUACCUGUUACGACCUCCUCUGAUGCUGCGGCGCCCUCAGUCUGGGCGGCGUAGAUCUGCCCACUUGAACCCUGCUGCGAACUCUCCGACUGCCGCUGUCCUGGUGGUCGCCUAGACUGAUAGGGUGCUGUCGGGGUCCCCUAGCUCGGAGCUGAAGAUGCAGGCGCAGAAGCUGACGAGGGUGCAGGCAAAGAACCUCUCGGGCACUCUGAGCGAAAGUGGCCCUCCUGACCACAGAGAAAACAUCUGCCCCCACGUUGUGGACACUGUGGCGGUACGUGAGGCCCACCACAGAUAACACAACGCGGCUGUGGACGACGCUCGGGUGCUCCACGGCGUGCUGACGAACCUCGGCCCCUCGACUGUCCCGACUGGCCUCUCGGAUACUUAGGCGGUCUCCUGAAAGAUUGCUGACCACUGCUCUCUGCUGCUGGUCUCUUUCCCUUGCUUCGAUCCACGACAUCUCUUUCUUUCAUAAUCUCCGCCCCCUUCUCAACAAUCAUGGCCCGAUUCACCACAUCUCUGUAAGUCGAGAGGUUUGACGCCUGGACUAAUCUGAAAAUUGCAGGUCGCAAACCCACCUCAAAUAUGCGAGCCUUGUCCUCAUCAUCUCAAACCACAAAAGGAACGCAGUGCAGUAAUCGAGAGAACUCUCGCUCAUACUCUACCACUGUCCUGUCUCCCUGCCUCAAAUUUCUCAAAUCCCUUUCCAUCUGCCUCUUCACACUCUGAGGAAAAUAGGUCGUCAACAACAAUUCCUUGAACCUGUUCCACGUGAUAGCGGACAAAUCAGUAUGGGGAUCCUCACGAAUGUCCACCCACCACCUGUAAGCCUCGCCGUCAAGGUGGUGCGUCGCAAACCAAACUCGAUAUCGCUCCUCGACGAAGGUAUCAUAGAAUAACUUCUCCAUGUGCAUUAACCAUUUCUCGACCACGCAGUGAUCUGCUUUCUCCCCGUCAAAGAUACGAGGGGUGCAACGACGGAAUUCAUUCAAUUGUUCCAUCAUCCGCUCUCGCACCUCAGCCCCCACCAUCUCUGGUAACACUGUCCCUGAUGCCGGUACAGUACUCGGUAGUGUACUGACUGUCCCGUCGUCCCCCGCCUCGACUAUGGGUUGUCAGGUAUUCUUGUGCAAUCUUACCUUCACUGAUCGCAUCCUGUCUGGUACUAUAGUAAUAAGGACCGGAAUCUCCAUUGCGGAGUGCGCUGGCUGCCCGGCAGUAGUAAAUCCUCUAACCUCUUUCUUCCUGUCCUCCUGCCGACAGCGCGCGCAUCCAUUCUGCUGGCGGUCGUCCAGGGGGCGCAGCCUGCGAGCAAACCAAAUCUGUCACUUCGUCGACUGACCUUCAACUCAUGCGAUCGCCCUAAUCCGAAUAAACAGAAUCCCCUACUUUCCUCUGCGCAUCCCGCUCAGCUGCCGCCCGCGCUCUCGAACGAUCGGAGCAUCUAAUCUGGCAACAUAAAACAAACAUAGGUCAAUAAUAGUAGUGAGAGUGAUAUGCGCGCAUCAUUGAGAUAUAAACCCAGCUAAUAAGGCGAUGAAUAAUUGAAAGUACCGCGUUCUAACUCUGAUUCACGUGUCGGCCGCCAAGACACCUCCAAAGAUUUAGUAAUUGCACAUUCCGAUCAAACCCCUACUAUUCGGAAGUUUAUUCCCAAUCCAAGUACUUUCGUAACAACAACCUCGACUUAACCUCGGUUCAUCACAGCCUAUUCUUAUACCCAACCAUCGCUAAGGUUGCUCUAGUCUACUUAAGACUCACCAGACCUCUGAUACACUAUAUCUGUUCACAGCUACGGGAUCAGCGAAGCAUAUCCGUAACGUGCACAACUCCGCAUACCCUGCAAGUAUUAUUAUAGUCUAACAAAACCAAGUCGAUAGGGAAAAGCAUAGUAAAUCCUAUCCUGAUUAUCAAGAAGCACAGUACAACAUCAAUUAAACUAUCCAAAAACAAUAGUGUACAAUCCAAAAUCUCGACUAAAAAAAGAGAAAGUAUACAACCAAUAGUAUCUGUCCACACUAAAGUACAUAUACCACGGGGUAUCAAAGAAUAUACAUUAUGGUGGUGCCUCUCUAUACAUAGUGGACUCACCCCGUUCAAGUCUAGAGCAAGUGAUCGACUAGCCCGCCUCAAUUAGCAAUUCUCACUGACCUGCGAUCUAUCCCUUCCACGAUCCCUAUCCUACCUAGCUGCUGUAAAAAACAACCAACAAAAGGGCGUAGAACUCAUAAACAAUAGUUCCCAGUGUAAGCCGCCAUCCUCAGGAAUUCAUCCACUAGGCCUUAUUAUUAACUAAAUGAAAGCGAAAGCAUAAUUGCAUAUAUAUAAUAUAUCAAUGCAACAGUAAUGUACAUGCUAAGCAACAUAAUCAUAGUCUCGACAGUAAUGAACAACUGAAAAUAUAAGCAUAGCAACUAUGAUUAACAUUAACAUAACAUAAAUGUGUAAGUAACUACUUAUAACACUGUAACGUAAUCACAAUUACUGUCCAAUUUCUUCUUAAUGCACUUUUCCUUCAUCACCAGGAUCUACUCAAAGUACUCCACUUCCCCAGCGCACUUAAUUUCCCGUGAUAUGACACUCACCACGCAAUCCACGGCACCCACUCUCAAGCACGGCGAGAAUGUCGCGUAGUCCAACUCCGAGUCUCGCUUUAGGGAGUCGACCCUCACAACGUUUGCGAAAGACACAUGGCAAAAAGCAAAUCCAUGUCCACUAUCUUAAUUACCAUAUUUUUCAUAUUGCAAUUUCUCAGUCUCGAUCCUCGAUCGGCAUUUCAAUAUAACAAAUAUUACAACAACUAGAAUCCACUAGAUUAAUAAACAUGCAAGAAUAAUGCUAAUUUCCACAUGGCAUUAGAAUCUUUUCACGAUCAUGGCACUAUAAACAUAAUCAUAAGCAUGACAUCAUUCUCUACUUUAUAGUCAAGAAAGUAUCAUAAGGAUGUCACGGUUUUCUAUUCUCUAGAAACAUGAUAACUUGUCCAUUAAUCACUCAACUAAAUUAAACAUGUAUAUAAGGACUUAUAUGCAUGAGUGUUCUCUACUUCAUAGAGAUUUCAAUUCAAUUAUAUAUCAACGCUAUAAUAUAGUGACUCGUCUCAAGUUCUAUAUCAAUCACAAAAGCAUACAACUGUAUCAAUUCUAUAAUACAUAUAGAACAUAGGGGGCUCCACUUGCUCUGGUUAGGUCAAACCCACCAAUUACUAAGCUCCAAAUAGUCCAAAGGAAGUCCCAAAAUCGGCUCAACGAAGCCCCAAUGCUGCUGAAAACAGGGUACAAGAGUCGAGUCAAUACUAUAACCGAAAUGUCCAAUUUCGGUACGAUUCGCACGUAAAGCAAAGUAGGAAUUUAAUUCCCUAUUUAGGGCUAGUUUGAUACCUCAAAUUAGGCUUCCAAAAGGCCCUCCACUGCCAAUCAAAGACGGUCCAAGGGUCAAAUGCCCUCUCGCUGCG
rnacentral:lncRNA from 1 species